UACAGAGGGUGCAAGCGUUGUUCGGAAUUAUUGGGCGUAAAGCGCACGUAGGCGGCUUUGCAAGUCGGAUGUGAAAUCCCUCGGCUUAACCAAGGAAGUGCAUCCGAAACUGCAGAGCUUGAGUACUUAAGAGGAUCGCGGAAUUCCCGGUGUAGAGGUGAAAUUCGUAGAUAUCGGGAGGAACACCAGAGGCGAAGGCGGCCACCUGGACGAGCACUGACGCUGAGAAGCGAAAGCGUGGGGAGCAAACAGG
rnacentral:rRNA from 1 species